rnacentral:ncRNA from 1 species
CAACCUGAGAGUUUGAUCCUGGCUCAGAACGAACGCUGGCGGCAUGCCUAACACAUGCAAGUCGAACGGCUCUUCGGAGCAGUGGCGCACGGGUGAGUAACGCGUGGGAAUCUACCCUGAGGUUCGGAAUAACGGUUGGAAACGACCGCUAAUACCGGAUGUGCCCUAUGGGGCAAAGGCUUGCCGCCUUGGGAGGAGCCCGCGUCCGAUUAGCUUGUUGGUGGGGUAACGGCCUACCAAGGCGACGAUCGGUAGCUGGUCUGAGAGGAUGAUCAGCCACACUGGGACUGAGACACGGCCCAGACUCCUACGGGAGGCAGCAGUGGGGAAUAUUGGACAAUGGGCGAAAGCCUGAUCCAGCAAUGCCGCGUGUGUGACGAAGGCCUUAGGGUUGUAAAACACUUUCGCCGAUGACGAUGAUGACGGUAGUCGGAUAAGAAGCCCCGGCUAACUCCGUGCCAGCAGCCGCGGUAAUACGGAGGGGGCGAGCGUUGUUCG